AUGAACGCUGGCGGCGUGCCUAAUCCAUGCACGUCGAGCGAACGGACGAGAAGCUUGCUUCUCUGAUGUUAGCGGCGGACGGGUGAGUAACACGUGGAUAACCUACCUAUAAGACUGGGAUAACUUCGGGAAACCGGAGCUAAUACCGGAUAAUAUUUUGAACCGCAUGGUUCAAAAGUGAAAGACGGUCUUGCUGUCACUUAUAGAUGGAUCCGCGCUGCAUUAGCUAGUUGGUAAGGUAACGGCUUACCAAGGCAACGAUGCAUAGCCGACCUGAGAGGGUGAUCGGCCACACGGGAACUGAGACACGGUCCAGACUCCUACGGGAGGCAGCAGUAGGGAAUCUUCCGCAAUGGGCGAAAGCCUGACGGAGCAACGCCGCGUGAGUGAUGAAGGUCUUCGGAUCGUAAAACUCUGUUAUUAGGGAAGAACAUAUGUGUAAGUAACUGUGCACAUCUUGACGGUACCUAAUCAGAAAGCCACGGCUAACUACGUG
rnacentral:rRNA from 1 species